UGGGGAAUAUUGGACAAUGGGCGAAAGCCUGAUCCAGCCAUGCCGCGUGUGUGAAGAAGGUCUUCGGAUUGUAAAGCACUUUAAGUUGGGAGGAAGGGCAUUAACCUAAUACGUUAGUGUUUUGACGUUACCGACAGAAUAAGCACCGGCUAACUCUGUGCCAGCAGCCGCGGUAAUACAGAGGGUGCAAGCGUUAAUCGGCAUUACUGGGCGUAAAGCGCGCGUAGGUGGUUUGUUAAGUUGGAUGUGAAAUCCCCGGGCUCAACCUGGGAACUGCAUUCAAAACUGACUGACUAGAGUAUGGUAGAGGGUGGUGGAAUUUCCUGUGUAGCGGUGAAAUGCGUAGAUAUAGGAAGGAACACCAGUGGCGAAGGCGACCACCUGGACUAAUACUGACACUGAGGUGCGAAAGCGUGGGGAGCAAACA
rnacentral:rRNA from 1 species